GGGUUAAGUCCGUAACGAGCGCAACCCUGUCCUUAGUUACCAGCACGUUAUGGUGGGCGACUCUAAGGAGACUGCCGGUGACAAACCGGAGGAAGGUGGGGAGUGACGUCAAGUCAUCAUGGCCCUUACGGCCUGGGCUACACACGUGCUACAAUGGUCGGUACAAAGGGUUGCCAAGCCGCGAGGUGGAGCUAAUCCCAUAAAACCGAUCGUAAGUCCGGAUCGCAGUCUGCAACUCGACUGCGUGAAGUCGGAAUCGCUAGUAAUCGUGAAUCAGAAUGUCACGGUGAAUACGUUCCCGGGCCUU
rnacentral:rRNA from 1 species